UCCUGGUGGGGAAAAUAAACUAAGGCUGAAUUCAUCUUAAAUCUAGAGCAAGUCUCCAAAGGAAACUUUGGCAAAGAUGAUUCCAAAGACAAAACCAGGGUUGCUGUGAGAGGACACAAGGAGGCGUUUCUGGAAUUUCUCAUGUAGGAGUUCAAAAUCGGGGACGCUCGAUUUGAUCUUGGAUUUGUGUUCACUCUGCUUUGGUUCAGUGCUCUUGUGUUUCUUCUUUUUGUUGGUCCCUUUCGAGGCCAGUCUGCUGUUGGGUACGGAUGAAUUUCGUAGCAGCUCCUCAGCUCUCAUCCUGAUCCUGAUUUCCCUGUAGAGCUCCUCCUUCUUUAGCCUGUCAUUGAAAUCUGGACUAUAAACGCUUCUUGGGACCGGUUUCGCUCUGAACGCUUUAGUUUUAUUUUCAGGUGGGGGAAUGUCUUUCAACAGCAUUUUCCUGGUUUCGUUCCUUUGCCUCUCUCGCUCAAUGAACUUAAACGGCUUUUGGGAAGCCAGGAGCUUGAGUUUGCUCCUCUCCCUCACAGACCUCCUGCGCUCCUCGUUCCGCUGCACGAUGUCGUGGUAGAGCGGCAGGAAGACGGCGGCGGGCACGGGAUUGGCUCGGAAUUUUUUCUGACACUCUGCUUCCUCCUCCAGCUGCUUCUUCAGUAAGUGAUUUUCCAGCUCAGUCUGGGACUUGGAUUUGAUGUUCUGCUCUUUCCUCUGAGCUUCUCUGAUGGUCAUCUGGAAAGGCUUGGGCACGGUGAUCCUGGGGGUCCACGCCUUCUGUUUCUUGCGCACCUUCCUGCAGGCCGGUGAGCCGGGCAAGCUGUGCCCGGCACGGGAGAUGUAGUCUUCCAGAGAAAACCCAUCCCACAUUUUUUCAAUCUGCUGCUUGGCAAAUGAGGAUGAUCCAGUUUCACUGCCGUUCCCUUCAAACACUAAUUCUUCAUCAGACGCGUCGGAUACGCUCGAGCCCAAGGGAUCGCUUAAGUCUGAGUCAGAAAAGGAUUUGUGCAGGUUAAGAGGCUGAUAUGAACUCUUGUCCCAAGUUGGCCUUGAGAAUAAAGGGGAAAAAAAAAAACUUGGUUUGAGCCAAUCCAACACUGAUGCAAAGCUGGUGACUUCCACUCUAAGGAAUCAUCACCAGAAACAAAACCGAGUGGCUGACGGGGGUGAGAAGGGAAAAGAGCUGCACACCGGGCACUCAAAGCAGACCCUGGUUUUAGUGCUGAUCACCAAAUCACCAUUCCCUGACCUGGGAAAGGCCCUGUGCUUCCCUAAAGGUGCUGCCCAAUCACCUCUAAACCUCACAGACCACUAGCAACGUAAUGAGCAUUUCUGUUAUCAAAACUGACAUUUCUCUGAUUAUCCCUGUGGUUAUGAGAGAUGGGGAGUGUAACACUUUCCAGCCCAGAAACACACCCUGCUGUUUUACAGCUGCCUGCAAAGCAUUUGGGAAUCUUCAGCUAAAAAGUGCCCCCAAACUUACCUACAGCACUUUGGAGAGGUGUCAUUUCUCUUAUCCAAGGCUUGCACUUCUUUUAAAUACAGCUUGUUCUGAUACAU